rnacentral:rRNA from 1 species
AUUGAACGCUGGCGGCAGGCUUAACACAUGCAAGUCGAGUGGGGAAGGUAGCUUGCUACCGGACCUAGCGGCGGACGGGUGAGUAAUGCUUAGGAAUCUGCCUAUUAGUGGGGGACAACAUCUCGAAAGGGAUGCUAAUACCGCAUACGUCCUACGGGAGAAAGCAGGGGAUCUUCGGACCUUGCGCUAAUAGAUGAGCCUAAGUCGGAUUAGCUAGUUGGUGGGGUAAAGGCCUACCAAGGCGACGAUCUGUAGCGGGUCUGAGAGGGUGGGCCGCCACACUGGGACGGGGACACGGCCCAGACUCCUACGGAAGGCAGCAGGGGGGAAUAUUGGACAAUGGGGGGAACCCUGAUCCAGCCAUGCCGCGUGUGGGAAGAAGGCGUUAUGGUUGUAAAGCACUUUAAGCGAGGAGGAGGCUACUUUAGUUAAUACCUAGGGAUAGUGGACGUUACUCGCAGAAUAAGCACCGGCUAACUCUGUGCCAGCCGCCGCCGUAA